rnacentral:rRNA from 1 species
UACAGAGGUCUCAAGCGUUGUUCGGAUUCAUUGGGCGUAAAGGGUGUGUAGGUGGCGCUGUAAGUGGGGUGUGAAAUCUCGGGGCUUAACUCCGAAACUGCAUUCCAUACUGCGGUGCUUGAGGACUGGAGAGGAGACUGGAAUUCAUGGUGUAGCAGUGAAAUGCGUAGAGAUCAUGAGGAAGACCAGUGGCGAAGGCGGGUCUCUGGACAGUUCCUGACACUGAGACACGAAGGCCAGGGAGCAAACGGG